CCAGGGUCGCUCUUGCGGUGUCAGGAAUGUGGUGGGGGAGCACUGGGCGUCAACGCGAAGGAACUCGUUUUACCCGCCAGAGUGGUAGAUUGCACCCAAUUAAUAAUAAUAACGCUCACACGGGAUGUUCAAAAGCCCUGUUACCUCCAUUCUCUCCUGUGGAUCUUACCACAGCGCGGAGGAGGCGCCAUUGACAUUUUGCAGUGCCUAUUUGCGGUAAAAUGCAAAUACUCGAAAUGCAGUCUGCACAAACACAAUCCUGGGUUUUCUCACCCGGGCUCACGCUCUUCCUGCCUCGUCAGGCUGAAGUCAUUUUAUGGAGAAUUCUGGGAACGGAUCUGUUGUCAGCAGCCUUUCCCCUUUCCCUGCAGCUUGGGUCCCGAGUCGCCUCUCGGGAAAAGCUGCUUUAUCUUCGGUGAAUUUCAGACACGAGGUCGUCUUUUAGAUCUGUUGGUUGUUUCCUCCACGGUGCAGAAGCCUGAAGUCCUUGCAGCUCUAAUACCCCCUACUGGUGGGAGGCACACUUGUGCGGCACUCUAGGAGAGCGUGUCUGAGUCUACAGAGAGCAGCGUGGACAAGACGGCCAAACCUUCUAACACUGUCUCAGAGCAUAAUGUCUAGGUGUUAUUUUACUAACAUGUCCCCCUGUUUAACAAAACGACUGUGUGAAAAUAUGCACAGCACCAAACUUGCCAUUUUAACCAUGUUUUAGCGUACGAGGCAGUGGCAUUAAGUACAUUCACAGUGUUGUGCGACCACCCCCACCAUCAUCGCCAGAACUUUGUCACCUGCCCACAUGGAAACUCCGUAUGACUUCCCUCCCCCGCUCCUGGUGACCACUCUCCUACUUUCUGUCUCUAUGAACCGGGCUAUUCGAAGUCAUGUCCCUCUUUUUUUUUUUUUUUUUUUUUUUUAUACAUUUGUGUCCAUCACAGAAUUUUUUCCCACCAGGGGAGGGUAGAUAGGAAAAAAAGCCAGUCCAGGAAAAAGAAGCCUUUGUGCCUGUGCCCAGUAAUAUUCUGACUGAUAAUCAAACCUUCUGAGGCUCACCUCCCGGGCUCUCGCGGGAGCUCGAGGAAAAACCCCAGGGAAUGGCUGAGUGCGUUGUGGGUGAACUUCAAAUAAGGAAAGAGCUGCUCUUCAAGAGGAAGACGGGGACGUGGUUUGUACACACCUUGAAACAAUGUGCUUUAGGUUCAUCUUGAUUAUGUACAUUACAAAGCCCCUUUCCAAGGGGCAAAUUAUGCAUUUGGAAGCAAAGCUAAGACAGCCAGACAGUCUUAUAAACAGGUGAGUGUCCAGAAAGAGACUCAAAGUGCUUUUGCAUUUUUCACUCAAAGUUGCGUGCGCGUGUGUGUGUAGCUUGAAAAUGUUUCCUAGCUUUCUUCCGAGUGUGGCGUUUACAUAAUUGUUCCAACCAAUGAGUAUACAAUU
rnacentral:lncRNA from 1 species